rnacentral:lncRNA from 1 species
AGAGCAGGCCAAAAAUCACACACCCCCCAAAUCAAAUCGCGCACCCCCCAUGCUACGUACACCCUACCACAUUUCGUCCUGCACCCCUCCUCAAACCCAAUAUAAUUGCUUUAUACACCUCCACUCAUUUCGUCCUACACCUCCCCCCAAACCCAACAUAAUUGCUUCGUACACCCAUCCCAUUUCGUCCUACACCUCCCA